GUUUAGCUAAAUGUUGAUGCUAUAAAAACAGCUAUGGCCAUUUUCUAUCAAGAUAUUUUUUGGGCUUUUAACCUUCAUUUGAGAGAGACAGCCUAAGACUGACAGGAAGGUGGGGGAAUGACAUACAACCACAAACAAGAGACCUUGAGCAUUUAGAGGAUGGGUGGUUAACAAUAAGGGAAUUUCUAAGCAAUUCACAUGAGAGAAGUGCUCCCCAUCCAGUCGCCAAAAACAAAAAUUUGUAUAGAUUUAUCCAGUUGUUUUUUAAACCAAAUCCCAAUAUUUAUCUGGUGUUUCCCAAAGUCUUGGUGUCUAAUUAGGCAUGUUAAAGUGAAUAAUUUUUUAUCCCUUUUCAACUGGUCAAAAAUGGUUACAUUUGUCAUGUCCUUCAUAUCUAAUCAUAUCGCAAUGUUCUAACGUUUUAUAUACUUUAAACUUGAAUUGGUGACUGGACAAUGUUUAUUACAUAUUUAUGAGUAAGAUAAUCUUCGGGUUCCUAAUUAUUACAUUAUAUAUACCAUUUCUGUAUGGAAUACUUUUUGACCUGUUAUCCCUCCCUAAAAAAACCACCUAAAAUGUUCAGUUAUUCAACUGUAUGGAGGGGUGGAGUGGAAUGUUAAGGAACUGAGCUGGUAAGUUGGCAACUUAUUUGGAAUAUAUACAUUAGAUCAGAUAUACAUCAGUCUCAAACCUCAAACUAUUGAUCUCCUUCCAAUAGGCCAAGCCAAACACCUCCAAAGGUCCUGAAAUUGAGUGGUGAUAUUAUUGUCAACAUGGUCCUCCUUCAACGUGGACCUGUUUCUGCAUUCAGUCACAACGUUUAUGAAUGAGAGUGAGAGAGAGAGAGACUGACAACACUCAUAGAUGAGAGAGGGGCAUGCAAAGUAUGGACUGAAGAGAGCCAACGACUACUACAUUCACCAUGACCCUGCACAUGCAACAAAAGUCCUAUUUCUUUUGGAGUACAGCCGCCGUACCCGAUCCCCUCCACCGGCCCGCCUUCCAUACGGCAUAGGACACCACCCCGCAACACAAAGCAGCAACCAACAAUACACGAUGCGCCGCGGACAAGGGCCCCGCGAGAUGUACCGCACACCGCCCUUCCAGCGGCAGAGAGAGGAGGGCGACGGGGUGACUGCUCUUGGCUCUCGGGUGAAUGUCUUUCUUUUGAUGGAAAAAAUGUGGGAUAAUGUUAAUCAUUAAAAGUUAAAUCAACAUUAAUAAAAUCUAAAUACUGAAAAAUUUCCACUGUAUUUAUCACAGUAAAAUUCUGGAAACCACAGCUGGCAGUUUUUUCUGGGGUGCGCAUUAUACAUGGGUACAAACAUUUUUUAUUAUUAUUUUUUUAAAUCCGGAUAUG